rnacentral:rRNA from 1 species
GAGUAAUGCUCACCAAGCGACGAUCCCUAGCUGUUCUGAGAGGAUGAUCAGCCACACUGGGACUGAGACACGGCCCAGACUCUACGGGAGGCAGCAGUGGGGAAUAUUGCACAAUGGGCGCAAGCCUGAUGCAGCCAUGCCGCGUGUGUGAAGAAGGCUUCGGGUUGUAAAGCACUUUCAGCGAGGAGGAAAGCUUAAGCGUUAAUAGCGUUUAGGUGUGACGUUACUCGCAGAAGAAGGACCGGCUAACUUCGUGCCAGCAGCCGCGGUAAUACGAGGGGUCCAAGCGUUAAUCGGAAUUACUGGGCGUAAAGCGUACGCAGGCGGUUUGUUAAGCGAGAUGUGAAAGCCCCGGGCUCAACCUGGGAACUGCAUUUCGAACUGGCAAACUAGAGUCUUGUAGAGGGGGGUAGAAUUUCAGGUGUAGCGGUGAAAUGCGUAGAGAUCUGAAGGAAUACCGGUGGCGNAGGCGGCCCCCUGGACAAAGACUGACGCUCAUGUACGAAAGCGUGGGGAGCAAACAGGAUUAGAUACCCUGGUAGUCCACGCCGUAAACGAUGUCUACUCGGAAUUUGGUGUCUUGAACACUGGGUUCUCAAGUAACGCAUUAAGUAGACCGC